UACGUAGGGUGCGAGCGUUGCCCGGAUUUAUUGGGCGUAAAGGGCGCGUAGGCGGCCACGCACGUCCGUUGUGAAAUCGCCCGGCUCAACUGGGCGGGGUCAGCGGAUACGGUGUGGCUCGAGCAAGCUAGGGGGCAAUGGAAUUCCCGGUGUAGUGGUGGAAUGCGUAGAUAUCGGGAGGAACACCAGUGGCGAAGGCGACUUCCUGGCCUGUUCUUGACGCUGAGGCGCGAAAGCUAGGGGAGCAAACGGG
rnacentral:rRNA from 1 species